AACGAACGCUGGCGGCAGGCUUAACACAUGCAAGUCGAACGCAUGCCUUCGGGCAUGAGUGGCAGACGGGUGAGUAACGCGUGGGAACCUACCCCUUGGUACGGGAUAGCUCCGGGAAACUGGAGAUAAUACCGUAUGUGUCCUGAGGGACAAAGAUUCAUCGCCAAGGGAUGGGCCCGCGUCGGAUUAGCUAGUUGGUGGGGUAACGGCCUACCAAGGCGACGAUCCGUAGCUGGUCUAAGAGGAUGAUCAGCCACAUUGGGACUGAGACACGGCCCAAACUCCUACGGGAGGCAGCAGUGGGGAAUAUUGGACAAUGGGCGCAAGCCUGAUUCAGCCAUGCCGCGUGAGUGAUGAAGGCCCUAGGGUUGUAAAGCUCUUUCACCGGUGACGAUAAUGACGGUAACCGGAGAAGAAGCCCCGGCUAACUUCGUG
rnacentral:rRNA from 1 species